AAAGUACUCCCUCCGUCCCAAAAUUCUUGUCUUAGAUUUUUUUUAGAUACGGAUGUAUCAAGUCACAUUUUAGUAUUAGAUACAUCCGUAUCUAGACAAAUCUAAGACAAGAAAUUUGGGACAGAGGGAGUAGUUG
rnacentral:pre_miRNA from 1 species